CCCUCGACCACAACCACAAAUUGAGGGAAAACAAACAUUCUUUCCCAUUCACCCCCAGUGUAAAAGAGCUAACUUUGUUGUGGAUUUUACACUGGGGGUGAAUGGUGAAAUGCUGCUGUGUUGUUCAAUGUACAUGUAUCCAGGUAAAAAAUCCCAUACCUACAGAUCGCAAUGCUCCCAAGUAGGGAAAUAGCCUGCGAGAAGAGCAUUGCGGUUGCCGGAUAUUCGGCGUGGGAAAUGUAGGGACCCGGUGGCCUAGUAGACUACACGUAGCUAUGUGUGUGGAAGACAUUACAUCACAGGCGGACGUUCUAUUUAACAAUGACUUGGUCUAUCGGACUGUUCCUACGGUAACUAUAAAACUAUAGGACUGUUCCUACAGUAACUACAGAACUACAGGACUAGUUGUGCAAGAGAGAAAAUGUACCGCCCAGCAACAAUGAUGUCAAAUGUUUCCCUUAGAAUACACAUAC
rnacentral:lncRNA from 1 species